AAGCAAUUUGCUCAUAGCCAUAGCUUUCUUGUGAAAGUAGGAUAUUAACCCAGGUGUCUUGGUGCUGGAGAACAGAACUGGCCAGAGUCCAUCCUGUCUCCCACCGGCAUCCCAUUACGAAAUGAACACAGAAAAGGCAGGUCUGCAAUGCCAACAUCUAGUAUCUAUCCCAAAGACCAGGGAGAAAGGAAGGAAAGAUUCUGGUUCUGUCCUCUUCCCCAAGGCAAGGCUGGCUGCCCUACCAACAGAGGCAAAGAGAAGAGUGUGCAAGGCUGGCUGCCCUCCCAACAGAGGCAAAGAGGAGUGUGUGUUGAAAUAUCCAUUGAAUCCCUGAGACAACUGGAUCCUGGCCCAUUGAAUCAUAAACUCAGCAGAAUCUCACAUCAUAACCCCAAAUGACCUGUUACUCACCAUGUGGCCCAGCUGUCUUCAAACUCACCAGCCUCCUGCCUUAGCCUUCUAAAUGCUUGGAUUACAGGCAUGACCCACCAUAACUGGCUUUGUUUUAGUUUCAGAGAAGAUGAAACUGAUGUGCGUCAAAAAGCUGGUAGUCUGUCAAGGAAAUGAGCUGAACAUGUCUGUGUACAGCUUUUGUGCCAUCCCUGGAUGAGCGAGCUGUCUGCCUCUAUGUUCUCCACAAAAUGGAAUAUAGCUGUACACCCAAGCCAAGUUAUGGAGGCUGGGAAGACCUAGAAUGUGGCAUCACUAUUUGCUGAAAUUUUUAAUAUAAUGCCUCUUAGCCUGGUUUGGAGAAAACGUCACAGAGAGGCACCAUUUGUUGUGGUUUUACAUGAAAAUUUUCUGACCCUGAACCUGGUUUGAUGGAAAUCAUUUGCUGAGGUUAUUUAGAAAAUUGUUACCUCAAAAAUGACCUAGGGGUCCUUAGAAUAAUAACACACAGAAGAAUAGCCUCAUUUUUCUGUUGGGCCCAGGAAACCAUGCCGAUUACCGACCGAGCUCUCAAUGGAAAAAUGCAGUCGGCGUGAACCACGCACGAACACAGCAGAGAAAGAAGAAAACACACACCACGAGGAACCCUAAUAGGACAAUACAUUAUAAGCCUCAUGGUACAUCCACUUGGUGUGCUGGGAGAGUCAGGAUGAGGACCUGAGAAGAACAGCAGCUUGAACCUGACUUCAUUUAACAGCCCACUGCCCUCUUGCCAAGAACCCAUCACAGACCUUCCCAGAAGAGAGGGAUGAGCCUCACCUAUGAAUAAGUCCUCAGAAACUCAAAUUUGAUUCUAAUGGAUUGUUUUCUCAGAAAGACUGAGCAUGUCCCCCCACAUCUCUGUCAUUUCCCACAGUAGUAACCUCUGCAGAUGCCACAUAGAAAACAAAACAAAACAAAAAAACAUGAGGUUGGUGGGCAGAUAGGCAGGGUAUAAACAAACAGCCUUGUAACCCAGAAGCUGUGUGAUAUACAGUAAACUUCACAACACUGAAAAGAUGUCCUAUCUGUUAAAAUGGGGUAAUAACAACUACCCGAAUGUUUAGGAAUAGAACUUCAAUAAAUGAUACAUUUUAUAGUACAGCAGACCAUCCUGUAAAGGUUUCAUCCUUCACUGUGGUGAUAAAUAUCCCAAACCACAUUGAAAAGCAUUGCAUCUACAUUUAUCUACACUGUAACUGUACUGUAAAUCAUGGGGGAGGGGAGAAUCAUAAAAACACCACCUGUCACCGUGUCAUUAAAGCAAGUUGGAAGUGAUACUUACAGAAACACAGCAAGAGCACCCCCAGUCACACAGUUCAAUCUCUUAGCAAGCGUUUUCUUUCUAGCCCAGUGGUUCUCAGUUUGGAAUUUUUGGCACUGCCUAGAGAUAGUUUUGUUGUUAAAACUGAGAAAAGAGCCGGGCGUGGUGGCACACGCCUUUAAUCCCAGCACUCAGGAGGCAGAGGCAGG
rnacentral:lncRNA from 1 species